GAUGAAGAACGUAGCGAAAUGCGAUAAGUAGUGUGAAUUGCAGAAUUCAGUGAAUCAUCGAAUCUUUGAACGCACAUUGCGCCCCUUGGUAUUCCAUGGGGCAUGCCUGUUCGAGCGUCAUUUGUACCUUCAAGCUUUGCUUGGUGUUGGGUGUUUGUCCCUCGGGACUCGCCUUAAAGUCAUUGGCAGCCAGUGUUUUGGUUUUGAAGCGCAGCACAAGUCGCGAUUCAAGGCUAUCCGCCCGCUUCCACAAGCCUUUUUCACUUUUGACCUCGGAUCAGGUAGGGAUACCCGCUGAACUUAAGCAUAUCAAUAGCGGAGGA
rnacentral:misc_RNA from 1 species